rnacentral:sRNA from 1 species
GUAUCACCUCAUCCCGCAGGUCACGCGGGU